GGGAAGGCAGGAGGAGGGACUUCUUUUCGGACGAUCUGUGAGAGCAAAGCAGACAAGAUGUAGGCAGGGGACUGAUAGUUCUGGUGGCGGAAUCCACCACUGGAAGAUUUCGAACAUAGAAUAGUUGAUGAAUUUAGGAUGAUAGAGUCCGUGCCCAGCGAUUGUGUGAUCUGUUGAUUCUAAACUAAGAUUGUCGGGUGUAUUCCAUUCUGCAACGAUUCAACUGAGCGCCAGUGAAAGCUCCUGCUUCCUGACCUGCUUGAGUUCCAGUCUUGACUUCCUUUGGUGAUGAACAGCAAUGUGGAAAAUUAUUAACCACUCUCUGGGACUUCGGAGGAGCCAUCUUCUGCCUGAUUGUGACACCUGCCCCGUGAUUCCUCCUUCUGUCCAUUCCAACCCAGCAGGUCCAGAGUUUUCACAGACAUAUACUUGCUAGACAUCAUUAAUGCAAGCAGCUCACCAUGCUCUGACCACUCAGUAUGAGGAGUAUAAAGUCCUUUCAUAUCUGCUAUCACCCAGAAAGACUGCAGUUAUUUCCCGUUAAUCUCUAUCAAGAGCAAACCUGUUUCCGAAGCACAUUCUCAACCUGGCUCCUUGCUCCUCAGGGUUAUUCUCUCGUUCUGGCUGAAAUGUCAUUGUCUUGCGGGUAGUCUUGAUGUCUUUUUGCACAAAUGUGAAUUUUCCCUUCCUGAGUAUCACGUAAUUUUGAUUGUAUUUCACCAGGUAUGUAUUUUACUUCAAAAUGAUCCAAACUUAUAUUUUAACCAAACACGGGGGAAUUUCAUUGCUGCCACAUCUAGCAGACGGCACAAAAUAGCACCUGGUUGGAGGAACUAAUUAGGGAUGUUUCUGCACAACGAAUCAGAAGAAUGAAAAGACGUGGAAACCUCUCCUGUCUGAAAUUCAAGCUCACACUCCUGUCCUCUGUUCCUUUCCUUAAAGCUCCACUGGAUGCGGGACUAUUUUUCAAAAUUAAAGUGACCAACACUGGAGAUAAAGUAGUUGGGAUUAAACCUGAAGGCUUAUUUCACCACACUAAAGGAAAGAAAGACCACUGUAUUGUGUCUUACGAAGGCCAUGGUAGGAGGAUGGAGUGUCUGCUGAUCUAUAUGAACAAGGAGCGGCUGGAAAACCAGAAACGUAACUUCUGGAAGUUGGAGCUAUCCAUCUGGCUUACUUACUGAGAACUGUAGGCACCCGCACUGCAAGCAUUAUUUAUAUACUAAGUAAUGCAUUUAAGAUUUAUGAGGAAUGAGAAGUCACACCACACCUAGAAGGGUGUGAACACGGAAUGCCUGCACUCAGGGAGAGAUCUGCGUCAGCUGUAUUUUUGAUCAAAAGUUGUUCCCAUAGUGACAACACUCUCCCCCUUAUCAGUAUUUCUUCUUGUUACUUGGUUACCAAAAUAUGAAAUGAAUACUGAAUGCAGGUCAUGAGCAUGAGAGCGAAUAUAAAGCUAACUAGUUAUCUAGGUCUAACUCUGUCAUGAUUUUUCUUUAUAUUUUUGGUGGUGGUUAAAUACAUAAAUAUAUUCAGUGGUCUAAGUAUAGAACCCAAUAUGAAGCCCACAGCCUCCAAAUGCCUAUUGUAACUUCCCAGAAGUUCACUGAGGUAUACAAACCUUAGGUCUAAUAAAUUCACUGUGUAAUUUUUUUAUUUACAUAAUUGUUAAAAUAAAAUUUAUUAAAAUGUA
rnacentral:lncRNA from 1 species